rnacentral:rRNA from 1 species
AGCGAACGCUGGCGGCAGGCUUAACACAUGCAAGUCGAGCGGGCACUUUCGGGUGUCAGCGGCGGACGGGUGAGUAACGCGUGGGAACGUGCCCUCUGGUUCGGAAUAACUCAGGGAAACUUGAGCUAAUACCGGAUACGCCCUUUUGGGGAAAGGCUUGCUGCCGGAGGAUCGGCCCGCGUCUGAUUAGCUAGUUGGUGAGGUAACGGCUCACCAAGGCGACGAUCAGUAGCUGGUCUGAGAGGAUGAUCAGCCACACUGGGACUGAGACACGGCCCAGACUCCUACGGGAGGCAGCAGUGGGGAAUAUUGGACAAUGGGCGCAAGCCUGAUCCAGCCAUGCCGCGUGAGUGAUCAAGGCCUUAGGGUUGUAAAGCUCCUUUAUCCGGGACGAUAAUGACGGUACCGGAGGAAUAAGCCCCGGCUAACUUCGUG